GUAGGAUUGGCUGAGCCGGCGGCGCUCUCCUCGCCCGACUGGUUGGGAGGUGUCUGGCGGGAGAGUUCGAAGGAACGCCGAAGCAGCUCUCCAUGCUCCAGAAAACUUUUUUUUAAAAAAACGAACUCUCCAGAAUGGUGUCUGAGGAGUGUUAUGGGGACAAGGAUGAAGAGAAAGUAACAAAAAUCACCGUCCCCUUUCUCUGGAAGGAAAGUUCCAGUGGAUGUUGGUUUUCUCCACUACUGGAAAAAACAUUUCCCGGCAGAUAUAUUCCUGUAAGGUCACUUUGAAAUUGUAGCCACCAAGCUGAAUGCAGCCCAGCAGCCAUGCAUGAUGAUCCAUGAAGGAUUCAGUAAUUCAUUGGGUUUUUUGUGCCUGUCUGGGAUUUGUAAUGCAGGGAAUAAAU